rnacentral:rRNA from 1 species
CCAAUAGCGUAUAUUAAAGUUGUUGCAGUUAAAAAGCUCGUAGUUGAAUUUCGGGAUUAGUACGUUGGUCGUGCCUUCGGUACGUACUGGUGUUACUGAUUCCUACCUUCUGACGAACCAUCAUGUCAUUAAUUUGGUGUGGCGGGGAAUCAGGACUGUUACUUUGAAAAAAUUAGAGUGUGUAAAGCAGGCUCGCGCUUGAAUACAUUAGCCUGGAAUAAUGAAAUAGGACGUUGACCCUAUUUUGUUGGUUUCUAGGAUUGACGUAAUGAUUAAUAGGGAUAGUUGGGGGCAUUAGUAUUCAAUUGUCAGAGGUGAAAUUCUUGGAUUUAUUGAAGACUGACUACUGCGAAAGCAUUUGCCAAGGAUGUUUUCAUUAAUCAAGAACGAAAGUUAGGGGAUCGAAGACGAUCAGAUACCGUCGUAGUCUUAACCAUAAACUAUGCCGACUAGGGAUCGGAUGAUGUUAUUUUUAAUGACUCAUUCGGCGCCUUACG